rnacentral:rRNA from 1 species
UACAGAGGUCCCGAGCGUUGUUCGGAUUCACUGGGCGUAAAGGGUGCGCAGGUGGGUUGGCAAGUUUGAUGUGAAAGCCCCGGGCUUAACCCGGGAAUGGCAUUGAAUACUGCUGAUCUGGAGGAUCGGAGGGGGGACUGGAAUUCUUGGUGUAGCAGUGAAAUGCGUAGAUAUCAAGAGGAACACCAGUGGCGAAGGCGAGUCCCUGGACGAUACCUGACACUGAGGCACGAAGCCAAGGGAGCAAACAGG